rnacentral:rRNA from 1 species
GAUGAACGCUGGCGGCGUGCCUAAUACAUGCAGGUCGAGCGAACGGACGAGAAGCUUGCUCCUCUGAUGUUAGCGGCGGACGGGUGAGUAACACGUGGAUAACCUACCUAUAAGACUGGGAUAACUUCGGGAAACCGGAGCUAAUACCGGAUAAUAUUUUGAACCGCAUGGUUCAAUAGUGAAAGACGGUUUUGCUGUCACUUAUAGAUGGAUCCGCGCUGCAUUAGCUAGUUGGUAAGGUAACGGCUUACCAAGGCAACGAUGCGUAGCCGACCUGAGAGGGUGAUCGGCCACACUGGAACUGAGACACGGUCCAGACUCCUACGGGAGGCAGCAGUAGGGAAUCUUCCGCAAUGGGCGAAAGCCUGACGGAGCAACGCCGCGUGAGUGAUGAAGGUCUUCGGAUCGUAAAACUCUGUUAUUAGGGAAGAACAUAUGUGUAAGUAACUGUGCACGUCUUGACGGUACCUAAUCAGAAAGCCACGGCUAACUACGUG